rnacentral:rRNA from 1 species
GUGCCAGCAGCCGCGGUAAUACGAAGGGUGCAAACGUUAUUCGGAAUCACUGGGCGUAAAGGGUGCGUAGACGGCUUAUUAAGUUCGUUGUUAAAGGCUCCGGCCCAACCGGAGUAUUGCGAUGAAAACUGGUAAACUAGAGGGUGAGAGAGAGAAGUGGAAUUCCCGGAGUAGCGGUAAAAUGCGUGGAUCUCGGGAGGAACACCAAUGGCGAAGGCAGCUUCUUGGUUCAUACCUGACGUUGAGGCACGAAAGCGUGGGGAGCAAACAGGAUUAGAUACCCUAGUAGUCC